rnacentral:rRNA from 1 species
UUCGAAUCAUUCACAAUGGGCGCAAGCCUGAUGAUGCAACGCCGCGUGGGGGACGAAGGUCCUCGGAUUGUAAACCCCUGUCACUAGGGAGCAAAACCUGGGUUCAUAGCCCAGC